AUAUGUCUGCAAACAAUAAAAAGAAGCAGAAGAAUUCUGCAGCCUCAGACAUGUCUACAAGGAAGAAACUGAGGGGGAAAAAAUCACCCAAAGAAUGUAACCAUGGGAUCUUAGAAGGGGAACCUUACUACCCAGUGAAGAGGGUGAUCCGCUGCAAAAUGCAGAAGAAUGAUCAAAUGAAGUUGGUGGAAUGGGAGCCCUGUUCACUCUGUGGGAAAACUUGGCCGCCACAGUGGGUGACGGAGGAGAACACCACAAAUUAAGGAAAUGUUCAAUCCCAUUGUUUUGUUCCAUAAGCUAUGUGUAUGUUGUUUACAGUAUAUUAAAAAAA